UUUUGACCUCAGCAUAGCCUCUUGAUUGAAAUCUGCUUAACUGCACAAGGCACUGAAGAAUAAGACAGUGUACCCCAUGGAUUGCCUACACCACAGAUGGACUGGCCUCAUCUUUGACUUGCCUCUACCAAUCACUAUAACUUUUCAACAAACUCAGAGAGAAACUACAGAGGCAAUGUUAAUGAAGUUCUAGUUUUCCAUAUAUCUAGAUUCUCAUCCCAAUCAGGAAACUGAAGGGUAAUUCAGGAAGGCAAAAAAAACAUUGCUUACAGCAGCAGAAGGAAGG